rnacentral:rRNA from 1 species
UGGGGAAUAUUGCGCAAUGGGCGAAAGCCUGACGCAGCGACGCCGCGUGGGUGAUGAAGGCCUUCGGGUCGUAAAGCCCUGUCGGGGGGGACGAAACCUUGGUGACCUAAUACGUCGCCGAUUUGACGGUACCUCCUAAGGAAGCACCGGCUAACUCCGUGCCAGCAGCCGCGGUAAUACGGAGGGUGCAAGCGUUGUUCGGAAUCACUGGGCGUAAAGCGCGUGUAGGCGGCCCCUUAAGUCUGGUGUGAAAGCCCGGGGCUUACCCCCGGAAGGGCACUGGAGACUGGGAGGCUUGAGUACCGGAGAGGAGGGUGGAAUUCCUGGUGUAGCGGUGAAAUGCGUAGAUAUCAGGAGGAACACCGGUGGCGAAGGCGGCCCUCUGGACGGCUACUGACGCUGAGACGCGAAAGCGUGGGGAGCAAACAGGAUUAGAUACCCCCGUAGUCC